AAAUUACAGGAAGGGAGAGACAUCUCUGUCUUAAGUCAACACCUCAAGGGCCUCCUCACCCACAAUGACCUUGACAACUACCAGCGGCAGGGCUUCUGAGAGCAACUGGCUAAGGGACACAGGCUGGCAGAGAGCAUUGUCUGCAAGCUCAGCCCAGCCACUGUGUUUGCAGUACGUGAAGUGGGAAAUAGCUGACGGGACAUUUCUAAAUUUAUGUGCAGAAAAUCAUGAAGAUGAGGAGGAUGAACAAGCACAAGAAACACUCACUCCCAGCAUGGAGCUGCAGGAGGUUGAAAAGAAGGAAGUCGUGCAGGACUCACAGGGUGAAUGUGUUUUGCCCUCUUCAGUUUGCCAAGAAGAUUCUGACUGUGACCAGCCUUACAGUGAUGGCAAAUUCACAUUUGCUGAACAGGAAGUUGGCUCUGCUCUGGAUAUAAACUGUGAAUGUUCCCAUCCUAAAGGGGAUGAAAUUUCAAAUAUUCUCCCAGUUUAUUUGCAGAAAACCAAAAUGAUCAUGAGCAGGCGAAAGGACAAGAGCCAGUUGCCUCCAGGCUCUGCAGGGAGCUGCCACAGAAGGUCGAGCAUGACAUACCAUGGGACCCGCUGGAUGAAUACUAUUUGACUUCUUCAGAUCUUCCUGGCCUGUCCAACUCCUACUGUCCUUAUAGGAAUGCUGCUACCAUCUCAUUUGAGGAACUGGAAGUCUAUUCUGCUCUAGAUAUAACUUAUACCAAGUACUUCUGGAAUUAAGAAAAAAUAUUACUGAUUUGAAAGAAACUGCCUCAUAAAAAAUAGCUUCUCCACUUGAUGAAAAAAAUCUAAAACAGCAAAUCAAGUGAAAGCCCAAAUGGACCACUGGAGGGAUCCUUUACAGAGAGUCAACAUCACAACCACAAACAAUUCUCCACAAUUUUUACUCCAAAAAACAGGUGUGAUGGGAGAAAUCCCAGCCCUUCAGCCUCCAAUUGUGCUAUAUCGCUAAGGGGACAAAAGCCUAGAUCCACACAGUUUUGAGAGUCCAUCACCAAAAUCAGGAGCAACUGGAAAAAGACAACAUGAGAAACUGAACGUUCUUUGCCACCAGCAGGGCUGUGCUAGGAGC
rnacentral:lncRNA from 1 species